AUGUGCUCUAACGAUGCAGUUAUAACCAGUCUGGCCCACCAGAAGUUCUGUGGAACUUCCAGUGAACUACCUACUCCCCUUCACUCACUGACACAGAACACAGACUGGAUUGAUUCUCACAGUGAAGGAAAAAUCUCAGUGUCUACCUACUGCUGGAUUUCUAUUCUAGCAGCUGAAAGGAAGAAAUUAGUAGCCCCUUGAUUUUUCAACAGAAGUCAGUGGAAAAAAAAUAAAGAAGAAAGGAAGUUCUUCA
rnacentral:lncRNA from 1 species